AGAUUGGCAUACCUACAAAAGAAAGCACUGUGCAGUAUAUACCCAUGGUAGACUUCCUCUGGAACUCAGAACCAUUCUUGGAAAUUAAGUUAUAUCAAUAAACAUCAACUAUUUCCUGCUAAUUAUACUGUUAUCCUUCAAAAACAACCAACCAACCUGGAAACUAAAGCCACCAAUCCUAGCUGAGAUAUUCUAAUUUCCAAAAGCUUACGCUGUGCAGAAGAGUCCCCACCUAUCUCCUGUCCUUAAAUGUUUCAUUGGGAAGAGAAGGGCCUUAUGGAACUGAAGUUGUGUAAGAUCAUCCAAAGUGACCUCCAGGAUCAGGCAGAGUCAGAAAGCAAGUGAAGCAACAUUUCAGAGCAGAAAAGACAAAAAGAAGUGGCAUGGGGCCCCAUGAGGUCCCACAAUAGUCUCCUAAGUGACGCAGCCCCACAUCCUUCUCUGGAGUAGCUAUGCAGAGGCAAUUCAACUGAAUAAUGAGAAAAUGACACAGUUCUUCAAGUUUAGCACCCAGAAUGUUUAACUAUUGCCAAUAAAGGUCAAUUGGGAUGGGAAAAUGCAAGGUUAAAAUAUACGAAAUUAUAAAACAAAAAGGAAAGAAACUGCUAUUUCCAUCAAUAUGUUUGGGGUUAUCAAUGAAAAGCUGGAAAAGAAAAGAACACCAAUCUUUCACAAGCAACAUAACCUGGGGGGUGGAAAAUACAUAGCCAGUGGGGACAAGUCACAG